GCAAGUUCUAAGCAAUAAAUACGAAAAAAACAAUAAAACAGAAAACAAGCGAUAAAAGCAAAAAUUUUUGAACCGGCGAGAACCAGAGACCCACGAGUUUUAUAUGCAGGAACAAUCAUAAGGAAAGGAUAUAACUAAGCCAGAGAGAGAGACUUCAAGAGAUAGUUAAAGCCAUGCUGAGUUCUUUAGAUGCACUGGCUGGUAAGAUAGCCACAGCGACGCCCGGCACAGGUGCCGUCACGGCGCCCAGUGCUGGUGGCAAUAGCAAGCCCGCACAGAGUCUGCACCAUCAUCAUCAUCACCUGGACUACGAUUAUUCGGCGGUGGAGAUUGAACCGCCCGCCGAACAGCUGGCCAAUUCGCCGCGAAACGAACGAGAGAGAUUGCAACAGGCACAGCAGGCGUACGAGCAGCAGGCACAGGCCGAGCUGGAGUUUGGACUGGCCGAGGUAACGAGUUGCCACAAGCUAACGCAAUUGAAGAGCACACCGAGUCUGCAUCACCCGCAUACGCAGGGCCAGCAGCAACAGCAGCAUCAGCAGCAACAUCAACAGCAGCAUGCUGCCAGCAAUCAAGGAGGCGGCGGUGGCGGCGGCAGGACAAUGACACAGAAUCGUCAUCCGCAUCAUCAUCAUUUGAACCAUCAUGCGCCGCACCAUCAUCAUCCGUAUCAGCGGCAUCGCCCCAACUCGCCCAAUCCACAGACGCCAUAUCAGCAGCAAUUGUCCCAGCUGGUGGCCCUGCAAGAUCAUCACGAGCUGCUGCAGUCACAGCAGGAGCUGUUCCACAAACAGCUGGCCAAUAUGCAGGAGUAUCAGCGCGAGCGAGAGCGCGAAAGGGAGCGAGAACGUGAUAGGGAACACAGGGAAAGGAACAAUUUCAUCGAUAACAGCGAUUAUGAUUCCCAGCAUGAGUUCAAAAUUUGCCUGAGGGAUAGUGCAUUUGGUAUGAGCGAUAAGAGUAGCAGUGCUACGAAUAGCCUGCCCAACAGUCCCAUUCACAGCAACAACAAUAAUCCAUCUCUGCUCAACAACAAUAACGGUGUGAACGGCAACAACAAUCAGAGCCUGGGUAGCAGCAACAAUUCGCUGGUGGGGGGCAUUGGCAACAACGGUAUUAUGUCUACGGCAGGUCUCGUCAACAACAACAAUAAUCCGUGCAGCGCCAAUCGGAAUGUCGUUGUGAGCAUGGACGAUGAUUCGUGCUUCCGCCUGGAUGCCGAUGCCACCGUCACCUACAGCGACAAGGAGCCCGAUCCAGACAACAUCAAGAUGUUUGUGGGCCAAAUACCCAAAUCCAUGGAUGAGUCGCAAUUGCGUGAGAUGUUCGAGGAGUAUGGACCGGUGCACUCGAUCAAUGUUCUGCGCGACAAGGCCACCGGCAUUAGCAAGGGUUGCUGUUUUGUGACAUUCUUUACGAGACGUGCCGCACUGAAGGCCCAGGAUGCUUUGCAUAAUGUGAAGACACUGGCUGGGAUGUACCAUCCCAUUCAAAUGAAGCCCGCCGAUAGUGAGAAUCGCAAUGAACGCAAACUGUUUGUGGGCAUGCUAAACAAGAAGCUGAACGAGAACGACGUGCGUAAACUAUUUGAGGUCCACGGCAACAUUGAGGAGUGCACCGUACUGAGAGAUCAGAACGGCCAGAGCAAGGGUUGUGCCUUUGUCACAUUCGCCACCAAACACGCCGCCAUUUCGGCCAUUAAAGUGACUUUAAGCCAAAACAAAAUCAUGGAGGGCUGCACAUCGCCGCUGGUGGUCAAGUUUGCCGAUACCCAAAAGGAGAAGGAACAGAAGAAGAUACAGCAGAUACAGGCGAAUCUGUGGAAUCUGGCCAGCAAUAUCAAUAUCCCAUUGGGUCAGACGGCCCAGAGUGUGUCCACACCGAUACUGCCCAACCCACCGCAGCAGCAGUCGCCCGUGCUGGGCGCCGAUGCGCUGACACCGGCCUCCAUUCAACUGUUGCAACAGUUGCAGGCCGUGGGCCUGCAGCAGCAGUUGCUACAAGCUCUCACUGGACUGAAUGCUCAGCAAAACAAUGCAAAUCAGGAGAGUGCCGCUGCCGCUGCCGCCGGACUCCUCACUCCGAUGACCGUACAGAAUCUGGCCGCCAUUGCGGCCAUGACGCAGCCGAGUCUAACGAAUGCCGCAGCAGCCGCUGCCGCUGCACAAUCGCCGGGCAGUGCCCAACUGACGAACACGGCUGCGUUGCUCUGGUCGGAUCCGAAUCCAUUGGCAUCGGCGUAUAUGUCAACAGCCGCCGGCUUGCCGCAAUUUGGCAGCGCCAGUGCAUUGUCCACAUCGCCGCUGGCCAGUGUGGCACUGAGCGCCGCAGCAGCCGCCGCUGCGGGCAAGCAGAUUGAAGGACCCGAGGGAUGCAACUUGUUCAUUUACCAUCUGCCGCAGGAAUUCACCGACACGGAUCUGGCCUCGACAUUCCUGCCCUUUGGCAAUGUCAUAUCGGCCAAGGUGUUCAUCGAUAAGCAGACCAGUCUAUCGAAGUGCUUUGGCUUUGUGUCGUUUGACAAUCCGGACUCGGCCCAGGUGGCCAUCAAGGCCAUGAAUGGUUUUCAGGUGGGCACAAAGCGCUUGAAGGUGCAGCUCAAGAAGCCCAAGGAUGCCUCCAAGCCCUACUAGUAGACGUGUAGACAGGCGCAACAGCGGAACAACGGAUAAGUCAACGGACAUCGGACAUCGGUUGGUGUAAUCUACAUAGAAGUAAAAAAAAAAGAAAAACAACAAAAAUGAAAAGCAAGCAAGCAAAACAAACAAAAGAAAUACAAAGAUUUGUCGAAUGGAGUAGUCAUUGAAUUAGAGUUGCCCGUGUAGAGCGCGCGCAUCGAAAGUAAACCGAAAACAAAAAGAUGCAAAUGCCAAACGUUAUGCCAUGUACGUUCUGGUAGUUUUCCAUUUCCAUAUUUAUUUAUUUUUGGAGAGGAUUGGGCAAAGUCAUGUUGGUAGUUGCUGCUCGACAGUGGAAAGAUGUAUGCAAAUCGUUUUUAUAUCACGCAUAGGUAGCCCAAAAAAUUGUAAAUAUUCUGCGCUUGAGUCUCUCUAGAAACGUGAAGGAGCUGCCAAUCUGAUUGCUGUCGCAGAUUAAAUUUCCCCAGAACUGUAAAUCGAACAAACUGUACAUGCUGUACACAAAACGAAACCAAAAUGAGAAAAACUCUGUAAAAACAAAACAAAAAAGAAGAAGCUGGUUAAUGAGGAAGAAGAAACUUAAAUAUUGUAUAGAUAGAAAGCUGCCAUUUUAUGAGUAUGCUUGUAAAGCAAACCCAUUUUAUAAAGUAAAAAACUAAAAUUAAGCACAAA